UACGCGAGUGAACCGGGAAAAGCUCAAAUUUGUAAUCUGGCUGUCUUCGAUAGUCCGAGUUGUAAUCUAUAGACGUGUUUUCCGUGCUGGACCGUAUCUAAGUCCCUUGGAACAGGGUAUCAAAGAGGGUGACAAUCCCGUGCUUGAUACGACCACCAGUGCUCUGUGAUACACGUUCUACGAGUCGAGUUGUAUA
rnacentral:rRNA from 1 species